UACGUAGGGGGCAAGCGUUGUCCGGAGUUACUGGGCGUAAAGGGCGCGCAGGCGGCGGUGCUGGCCCGGCGUGAAAGCCCCCGGCUCAACCGGGGAGGGUCGUCGGGGACCGCACCGCUUGAGGGCGGUAGGGGCCGGUGGAAUGCCUGGUGUAGUGGUGAAAUGCGUAGAGAUCAGGCAGAACACCUGGGGCGAAGGCGGCCGGCUGGGCCGACCCUGACGCUGAGGCGCGAAGGCGUGGGGAGCGAACGGG
rnacentral:rRNA from 1 species